UUGCAAUGGAGCCAGCUGGGCAGAACUACAUUGUUCCUGAGAUCUCCGCCUGUCCCUAGUGAGGCCAUUUCCACACUGGGGAGAGCUCCGUGUACACACCUCCGAGACAACGGUCACAGGCCAGGGGGAAAGAAGGUGGUCCUUUGAGCAGGAAAAAGAGCAAAGAACCAGACUCGCUUUGUGAUGUGAUGCAGAGAACACGCCCACAGCAGCCA
rnacentral:lncRNA from 1 species